GGCGUCGAGGUUGCAGGAGCGGUGGUGACUCGAGAGGGUGAAGGUGUCAUGGGAAGUGCUGGGGGUAAGCGUGGGGUAGGUGGCUAAGUAAGUUGGAAGGUGAAGCCCCGGGGUCAGUCUGGGAAAUGCUUGCAAAACUGCUGAGCUUGAGUACGGUAGAGGGUGGGGGAAUUGCCUGUGUAGCGGUGAAAUGCGUAGAUAUAGGAAGGAACACCAGUGGCGAAGGCGACCACCUGGACUGAUACUGACACUGAGGUGCGAAAGCGUGGGGAGCAAACAGGAUUAGAUUCCCCAGUAGUC
rnacentral:rRNA from 1 species